UCUACGGGCGGCAGCAGUGGGGAAUAUUGGGCAAUGGGCGCAAGCCUGACCCAGCAACGCCGCGUGAAGGAAGAAGGCUUUCGGGUUGUAAACUUCUUUUAAGAGGGAAGAGCAGAAGACGGUACCUCUUGAAUAAUCCACGGCUCACUACGUGCCAGCAGCCGCGGUAAUACGUAGGUGGCAAGCGUUGUCCGGAUUUACUGGGUGUAAAGGGCGUGUAGCCGGGCUGACAAGUCAGAUGUGAAAUCCCGUGGCUCAACCACGGAACUGCAUUUGAAACUGUGGGUCUGGAGUAUCGGAGAGGCAGGCGGAAUUCCUAGUGUAGCGGUGAAAUGCGUAGAUAUUAGGAGGAACACCAGUGGCGAAGGCAGCCUGCUGGACGACAACUGACGGCGAGGCGCGAAAGCGUGGGGAGCAAACAGGAUUAGAUAACCGGGUAGUC
rnacentral:rRNA from 1 species